GGUUCUGCAUGGCAGGUCAAUGAGCUGUGCACAUCCUCAGCUAACCAUUCCAAUCCUAACAACCCUGAUCCACAGCAGAUUAGGGUGGAUAUUGUACAGCAUUUUGUUUACCACAUCACAAGCAAUCAGGAUAAAUAAUUCUGGAGAUGGGAGUAACUGGAUAAUUUAUGCUGUGUCUGGGAAUGGACUCGGGUGUAAGUAUAUAAAACAUCAGAAUAGUUUUGGAGCUGCAUGUAAUGAAUUGACCUCUGUCUUGGUAAAUGCCUAGAUGCUGUGAUGAUAAGCAAGCUGUAAGACAGGAAUUCUGCCAUGGACCUCGAUUCUGGUGACAGGUACCAAAACCAGUAACAAAUCCAAAGGCUGCACCAAAUGAUGGAGUGCAGGAGAAGGGCGAUGCCGAUGCUGCAGCUCAAGGGAACUGGGACAAGCAACCUCCAGGGAAGAGCCCAGCUUUACAGGAGCACAAAAUGAUGGUGUGAGUUUCAGCACAGAUUGGAGAAUUAAGACUUCUGCUGGCAGUGGAAGGUCACCUAGAAAUGCUCCCCCCAACCCUGCUCAGAGGAGGCUGAAAACAGGGAGGGUAAAGAGCUCAAGAAGAAGCUGCUGAGCAGCCUGGCUCAAACAUCUGCAUGUGGUGCU